UACGGUGGGGGCAAGCGUUGUUCGGAAUUACUGGGCGUAAAGGGCUCGUAGGUGGCCAACUAAGUCAGACGUGAAAUCCCUCAGCUUAACUGGGGAACUGCGUCUGAUACUGGAUGGCUUGAGUUCGGGAGAGGGAUGCGGAAUUCCAGGUGUAGCGGUGAAAUGCGUAGAUAUCUGGAGGAACACCGGUGGCGAAGGCGGCAUCCUGGACCGCCACUGACACUGAGGAGCGAAAGCCAGGGGAGCAAACGGG
rnacentral:rRNA from 1 species